rnacentral:tRNA from 1 species
GGAGGAGUCGGAUAGUGGUUUAUUCCAGCGCACUUGAAAUGCGCCGUGCCGCAAGGCACCGUGAGUUCGAAUCUCACCUCCUCCG